UGACAGAGUCCUGCAGGAGGUGU
rnacentral:piRNA from 1 species